UUACGCCACACCCCUUGAGGUUUACGAUUUGUGCAUUGGGCUACCUUCCUUCUUGAUCUGGCUUCUCUAAUCACCUAUUACCGGGCUUAGAGGUCUCAUACAUUUUGCUCGAAUGGAAUUAAGACAAAAUAAAAAUAGAUGACUGAACCUUAUUCUAGUUAGAUUGGGUGCUUAUUUAUUUAUCUUUUUGUUCUUUUGACUAACAAAAUUUUUUUGAAGCAUUUGACCAGUGAUCUUCUACUUUAGCCUCUCUGUAUUAUAUUCAACCGAUGCUUCUAUUUUCUGAACUUAUUUUCUAUCUCUUUUUCUGUGUCUCUGCUUUGUGUUUGUCUGCUAAUUUUUAAAGAGGGUUUUCACUUUUUUCAUCGCUGGAGUCCUUGAUUUGAAUUGAUGUUGAUGGGAGACAUCUAACCUAGUAUUACUAUAUUUUUUUGAAGCAAUUUGGUGAUAUCAGAACCUUGUAUACUGCAUGCAAGUAUAGGGGCUUUGUGAUGAUAUCUUCCUAUGACAUUCGAGCUUCUCGAAAUGCAAUGCGUGCUCUACAAAAUAAGCACUUGAGAUGAAGAAAGCUCGACAUUCAUUUUUCUAUUCCUAAGGAAAAUCCAUCAGAGAAAGAUAUUAACCAAGGAAUUCUUGUCGUGUUCAACUUGGAUCCAUCGGUAUCCAAUGAGGAUCUUCGGCAAAUCUUUGGAGCAUAUGGCGAAGUCAAGGAGGUGUC